AACCUAGCACACCUGCGGUGUGUACCUGCGGAGGGAUCAUUACAGAGUUGCAAAACUCCCUAAACCAUUGUGAACGUUACCUAAACCGUUGCUUCGGCGGGCGGCCCGGGUCCUUCCCGGCGCCCCUCGGCCCUCGCGGGCGCCCGCCGGAGGUAAACCAAACUAUUGCAUUGUAUGGCCUCUCUGAGUCUUCUGUACUGAAUAAGUCAAAACUUUUAACAAUGGAUCUCAGAUCGGAAG
rnacentral:misc_RNA from 1 species